rnacentral:rRNA from 1 species
ACUCCUACGGGAGGCAGCAGUAAGGAAUAUUGCGCAAUGGACGAAAGUCUGACGCAGCGACGCCGCGUGGGGGAUGAAGGUUUUCGGAUUGUAAACCCCUUUCGGCAGGGAAGAUGGAACGGGUAACCGUUCGGACGGUACCUGCAGAAGCAGCCACGGCUAACUUCGUGCCAGCAGCCGCGGUAAUACGAAGGUGGCAAGCGUUGUUCGGAUUUACUGGGCGUACAGGGAGCGUAGGCGGUUGGGUAAGCCCUCCGUGAAAUCUCCGGGCCUAACCCGGAAAGUGCGGAGGGGACUGCUCGGCUAGAGGAUGGGAGAGGAGCGCGGAAUUCCCG